rnacentral:sRNA from 1 species
CACAGUGUCUUUUUGAUACAGAACUCUUGCUUUGGUUUGGCCUAGAGAUAGGUUGGGCCAGAGGUUUAACAAAACACAAUUUAAUUAUUUUUACAGUUAGUCAAAUUUUGAAUUAAUCUUCAAAACUUUCAACAACGGAUCUCUUGGUUCUCGCAUCGAUGAAGAACGCAGCGAAAUGCGAUAAGUAAUAUGAAUUGCAGAUUUUCGUGAAUCAUCGAAUCUUUGAACGCACAUUGCGCCCUCUGGUAUUCCAGAGGGCAUGCCUGUUUGAGCGUCAUUUCUCUCUCAAACCCCCGGGUUUGGUAUUGAGUGAUACUCUUAGUCGGACUAGGCGUUUGCUUGAAAAGUAUUGGCAUGGGUAGUACUGGAUAGUGCUGUCGACCUCUCAAUGUAUUAGGUUUAUCCAACUCGUUGAAUGGUGUGGCGGGAUAUUUCUGGUAUUGUUGGCCCGGCCUUACAACAACCAAACAAGCUUGACCUCAAAUCAGGUAGGAAUACCCGCUGAACUUAAGCAUAUCAAUAAGCGGAGGAAAAGAAACCAACAGGGAUUGCCUUAGUAGCGGCGAGUGAAGCGGCAAAAGCUCAAAUUUGAAAUCUGGCGCCUUCGGUGUCCGAGUUGUAAUUUGAAGAUUGUAACCUUGGGGUUGGCUCUUGUCUAUGUUUCUUGGAACAGGACGUCACAGAGGGUGAGAAUCCCGUGCGAUGAGAUGCCCAAUUCUAUGUAAGGUGCUUUCGAAGAGUCGAGUUGUUUGGGAAUGCAGCUCUAAGUGGGUGGUAAAUUCCAUCUAAAGCUAAAUAUUGGCGAGAGACCGAUAGCGAACAAGUACAGUGAUGGAAAGAUGAAAAGAACUUUGAAAAGAGAGUGAAAAA